rnacentral:siRNA from 1 species
AAAGGUUUUCAUAAAAGUGGUCUC